rnacentral:rRNA from 1 species
GGACAAAUUGCGGAUCCUUAUGUUGUAAAAAACGAAGGACGACUGGGUCAGGUCUAUCCCCUAUCAGUUUUCGUAGGAAGUGUAUUGUACUUUCUAGACUAUGACGGGUAACGAAAAAUAAGGGUUUGAUUUCGGAGAAGGAGCCUGAGAGACGGCUACUACAUCUAAGGAAGGCAGCAGGCGCGCAAAUUUCCCAUUGCUUAUCAUAUAAUGUAAGCGAGGAAGUGACGAUCAAUAACAAUGUGUGACUCUUUAUGGGUUAUGCAAUUGGAAUGACUACAAUUUAAAGAGUUUAAGAAGGAUCAAUUGGAGGGCAAGUCUGGUGCCAGCAGCCGCGGUAAUUCCAGCUCCAAUAGGAUAUAUCAAAGUUGUUGCAGUUAAAAAGCUCGUAGUUGAAUUUCUGGAAGGUAGAAGUGUUUUUUUAGAGAAGCAAUUUUUUAUGAAAGACACCGCUUUCCAUUUUGUGGAUUUCUGUUUUGUAUAAAGAUAGUUUACUCUAUUUUUGUAUAAAAUACCACUCCGUCACUGAGAGCAAAUUGGAGUGCUCAAAGCAGGCUUUAUUAGCUUUGAACAUUUUAGCUUGGAAUGACAAGAUAUGACUUUUGUUUUAUUUUGUUGGUUAUGAAAUAAAAGUAAUGAUUAACAGGAACAGUUGCGGGGGUACUCGUAUUGAAAGGUCAGAGGUGAAAUUCUUGGAUUCUUUCAAGACGAACGACUGCGAAAGCAUUUACCAAGGAUGUUUUCAUUAAUCAAGAACGAAAGCUCGGGGAUCGAAGAUGAUUAGAUACCAUCGUAGUCCGACGCCAUAAACGAUGCCGACUCGGGAUUAUUUUGUUAGUUUAAAUUAAAAAAGAACACAAAGUAGCACCGUAUGAGAAAUCAAAGUCUUUGGGUUCCGGGGGGAGUAUGGUCGCAAGGCUGAAACUUAAAGGAAUUGACGGAAGGGCACACCAGAGGUGGAGCCUGCGGUUUAAUUUGACACAACACGGGGAAACUUACCAGGUCCAGACAUGAUGAGGAUUGACAGUUUGAAAGCACUUUCUUGAUUUCAUGGGUGGUGGUGCAUGGCCGUUCUUAGUUGGUGGAGUGAUUUGUCUGGUUGAUUCCGAUAACGAACGAGACGGGGUGAAUUUACUAGUUUGUUAUAUAAUUUACGUUAUAUAAGACUUCUUUAUUCGACAACUUGGUUUUACCAAGAGGAAGCGCCCCGCAAUAACAGGUCUGUGAUGCCCUUAGAUGUUCUGGGCUACACGCGCGCUACAAUGACGAAUUCAACGAGUUAAAAAUUUAUUCCUUAUCCGGAAGGAUGUGGGUAAUCUUUUCAAUAUUCGUCGUGAUGGGGCUAGAUUUUUGCAAUUAUUAAUCUUCAACGAGGAAUCUCUAGUAUGUGCAAGUCAUCAGCUUGCGCAGAAUGCGUCCCUGCCCUUUGUACACACCGCCCGUCGCACCUACCGAUUGGACGAUCCGGCAAGAUGUCUGGAGUUGUUUUGAUUGUAGAGUAAUUUAUGAUGAAAAUGACAAAGCUCUUCAAACCUUAUCGUCUAGAGGAAGGUGAAGUCGUAACAAGGUC